rnacentral:lncRNA from 1 species
ACUCACGGAGCCUCGUUCAUCAUCAUGGCCGUGUUGAGGGAGAGGAGCACAUUUCCCCUUUGUCACAGUCCAGGUCAUUUAGCAACUGCACUCAAUCAUUUCCGGUUUUAUUUUGUACCACUUCCUGUUCAGUGCCCAUGUUUUCAGUUCCAGCUUUACCUCCGGUUUUAGUUUGACGCACCUGUGCCCUGUUACUAAUUACUCACCUGCUAACUAUCCAGCCAUCAUCUUCACUCGGUAUUUAAGCACCACCCCUCAGCCCUGCACCUUGCCAGAUUGUCUUUGUGUAUCAGCCAGCAAUCCAGCGUUAUUCUCAUGAUCGUGAACCUGUGUAUGACCUCGCUUCUCCUGACCCAGAUUCUCGUCUCAUCUCUGAUCCUGCCGUGCCGUGAGUUUGACCCUAGCCUGCCUUGACCACCGCUUGUCUAGACCCUGUCUGUACUGAACCUGCCGGAUCUGUGUACCGACCCUUGCCUGCCUGACCACGAGCGUGAAUAAACCCUGUUGUGCACUGAGCCUUGUCUCCGCUGUGCGUGUGGGUCCGCUGCCUUGAGUCCGUGACAGUACAAUCUGGCCACACUCGGACCCAGCCGGCGUCUUGCAUCAGUUUAAGGGCUGCAAGGGAUUUUUUGUUUUGUGUACUCGGACGACGCAGAGUCGCGAUGGUGUUUACCUGCUCGAGGCUGCCGGAGGACCUCCGCUGGUGCUUCGGGGAGCUUGCGAAGAAUUACGCGGAAGCCCCCAGUCUGAAGGCGCGGCUCCGCGUUAUAAAACAAGCGAUUGCUAUCCUGGAGGAGGAAUUCUGGUGGCUUGACUACCCGGAGGUGCAGACGCUUUUUGAGAGGCUCCAGGCAGUACGGAGGGAUUUGGCACGCGCUCUGCGCGCGGCGCCCGCCAGCGUCUCAUCAGCUGUUCCUGCUGCACCGGAAAGCGCUCCCGUAGUCGCUCAGUCAAGCCAAGCUCACGUUCCCGUCGUCACCCAGUCAAGCCAAGCUCACGUUCCCGUCGUCACCCAGUCAAGCCAAGCUCACGUUCCUGUCGCUGCUCAGUCGAACCAAGCUCACGUUCCUGUCGCGGCUCAGUCGAGUCAAGCUCACUCCCCUGUUGCCACUCAGGCAGAUCCAGUCCGUACCGUGGUCCCGGCUCCUGCUUCAGCCCUGGCGGUUGAGGAGGUGAAGUCCACAGCUAGUCGUCGGAGGUCCAGACGGCGUCGACGACAGCCGGUUUCCCCUGUCCAGGCUCCAGAAGACUCGGUCAGGGAAAUCAGACUGCCUCCUUCGCCAGCAGAGGGCACUCUCGCCCCAUUGGACGACAUACCCACCUCCAUCGCAGGCAUCCCGGACAGCAUCCUCCAACGGAUCCGUGCCCAAUGCACCCCUCCAGUCCUGUUCCUGUUUGCGCACUGUCUGAACUCCGCCGAGGCAGAGACCGACCCGGUAAUCAAGGAGCGUCGCUUCCGUGAAGCCGCCCUGCUCAUUGCUCGGAAGCCUGCGCUGCGCGAGGCCCUGGGUUUCAUUGAACCCCCAUCAGAGCCUGCACCCGUUCCUGCAUCAGAGCCUGCAUCAGAGCCUGCACCCGUUCCUGCAUCAGAGCCUGCACCCGUUCCUGCAUCAGAGCCUGCACCCGUUCCUGCAUCAGAGCCUGCACCCGUUCCUGCAUCAGAGCCUGCACCCGUCCCUGCAUCAGAGCCUGCACCCGUUCCCGCAUCAGAGCCUGCACCCGUUCCUGCAUCAGAACCUGCACCCGUUCCUGCAUCAAAGCCUGCAUCACUGGCCCCAGCGUCUAAGUCUGCCUCACUGGCCCCAGCGUCUAAGUCUGCCUCACUGGCCCCAGCGUCUAAGGCUGCAUCACUGGCCCCAGCGUCUAAGGCUGCAUCACUGGCCCCAGCGUCUAAGUCUGCAUCACUGGCCCCAGCGUCUAAGGCUGCACCACGGGCCCCAGCGUCUCUGGCUGCACCACGGGCCCCAGCGUCCCUUACUGCAUCACUGGCGGCAGCAACUCCCGCCCUAGCCUCACCUCAGCCUUGCCAAGCUCCAGCUCCAGCCCAGCCUGCAGCAGCUCAAGCCUCAGCCCAGCCUGCAGCAGCUCAAGCCUCAGCCCCGCCUGCAGCAGCUCAAGCCUCAGCCCCGCCUGCAGCAGCUCAAGCCUCAGCCCCGCCUGCAGCAGCUCAAGCCUCAGCCCCGCCUGCAGCAGCUCAAGCCUCAGCCCCGCCUGCUCAAGCUCAAGCCUCGGCUCCGCCACGCCAAAUUCAAGCCCCAUCUUUACGCCAGCUAGCAGGCACCUCUGGCCAGCCACACCAGGUCUCAGUUCCUGUUCCCGUUCCUGUCGGCCAUAUUGAGGCCGCCCCUGUUCCUGUCGGCCAUGUUGAGGCCGCCCCUGUUCCUGUCGGCCAUAUUGAGGCCGCCCCUGUUCCUGUCGGCCAUAUUGAGGCCGUCCCAGUUCCUGUCGGCUCCUCAGAGGAGGACGCCGUUCUAGUUCCUGUCGGCCAAGUAGAGGCCGUUCUAGUCCCAGUUCCUGUCGGCUCCUCAGAGGAGGACGCCGUUCUAGUUCCUGUCGGCCAAGUAGAGGCCGUUCUAGUCCCAGUUCCUGUCGGCUCCUCAGAGGAGGACGCCGUUCUAGUUCCUGUCGGCCAAGUAGAGGCCGUUCUAGUCCCAGUUCCUGUCGGCUCCUCAGAGGAGGACGCCGUUCUAGUUCCUGUCGGCCAAGUAGAGGCCGUUCUAGUCCCAGUUCCUGUCGGCUCCCCUGAGGAGGACGCCGUUCUAGUUCCUGCCACUGUCGACCCCUCGGAGGCUGCAGCCCCCGACGAUCCCCAGGAGGGGGUCGUCCCGGCCGCAGCGUCUGCCGCAGCGUCUGCCGCAGCGUCUGUUGCGGUUCCUGCCGACCUCCCGGAGGAGGUCGGUCCAGCUCCGUCUCCUGCCGACUUCCCGGAGGAGGUCGGUCCAGCUCCGUCUCCUGCCGACUUCCCGGAGGAGGUCGGUCCAGCUCUGUCUCCUGCCGACCUCCCGGAGGAGGUCGGUCCAGCUCCGUCUCCUGCCGACCUCCCGGAGGAGGUCGGUCCAGCUCCGUCUCCUGCCGACCUCCCGGAGGAGGUCGGUCCAGCUCGUCUCCUGCCCGACCUCCCGGAGGAGGUCGGUCCAGCUCCGUCUCCUGCCGACCUCCCGGAGGAGGUCGGUCCAGCUCCCGUCUCCUGCCGACCUCCCGGAGGAGGUCGGUCCAGCUCCGUCUCCUGCCGACCUCCCGGAGGAGGUCGGUCCAGCUCCGUCUCCUCCCGACCUCCCGGAGGAGGUGGUCGGUCCAGCUCCGUCUCCUCCCGACCUCCCGGAGGAGGUGGUCGGUCCGCUCCUGGUCCCUGUGGUUUUUGUGCCAAUGUGUGCAGGUGCAGUUCCUGGUGGUCCGGUCCCGGACACGCUCGCCUCAGCUCCUGGUGGUCCGGCCCCGGACACGUUCGCCUCAGCUCCUGGUGGUCCGGCCCCGGACACGUUCGCCUCAGCUCCUGGUGGUCCGGCCCCGGACACGUUCGCCUCAGCUCCUGGUGGUCCGGCCCCGGACACAUUCGCCUCAGCUCCUGGUGGUCCGGCCCCGGACACGUUCGCCUCAGCUCCUGGUGGUCCGGCCCCGGACACGUUCGCCUCAGCUCCUGGUGGUCCGGCCCCGGACACGUUCGCCUCAGCUCCUGGUGGUCCGGCCCCGGACACGUUCGCCUCAGCUCCUGGUGGUCCGGCCCCGGACACGUCUGUCUCAGCUCCUGGUGGUCCGGUCCCGGACACGUCUGUCUCAGCUCCUGGUGGUCCGGUCCCGGACACGUCUGUCUCAGCUCCUGGUGGUCCGGUCCCGGACACGGUCAGCGGUGUCUCCACCCUGGAGGCCCGGUGCCGGCCACGUCUCCACGUCCGUCUUCGGCCUCUGGUUCCUGCCUCGUCUCCACGUCCGUCUUCGCCUCUGGUCCCUGCCUCGUCUCCACGUCCGUCUUCGCCUCUGGUCCCUGCCUCGUCUCCACGUCCGACUUCGCCUCUGGGUCCUGCCUCGUCUCCACGUCCGUCUUCGUCUCUGGGUCCUGCCUCGUCUCCACGUUCGUCUUCGCCUCUGGUUCCUGCCUCGUCUCCACGUCCGUCUUCGCCUCUGGUCCCAGCCUCGUCUCCACGUCGGUCCUCGUCUCUGGUCCCAGCCUCGCCUCCACGUCUGCCCCUGGUUCCGGCUUUGUCUCCACGCCUGUCUUCGUCGCUGUUCCCGGCUUCCCGCCAGCUUUCGCCUCGCCUGCCCGACGGAGGGCCAGGUCCUUGGCGAAUCCUGUGGCAGGGAUGGCGCUGCCUCCUGCGUCGUCGGCCACCUCAGCUGGCCGGUUCCGGAGGCGACCACCUACCUGGAGGUCGCUGUUUCCUGCUUCGACGAUGGCGCGGGCUCUGGCACUGCCGACCGCCGCGUCUUCUCAGUCCCCUGGAGCACCCCCGGUCUGGAGAGCACCGGCGCAUGCGUUUGGCCACUGGAGGCAGCAUGUUUCGACGUCGGCCUCCUAGAACUCCAGCCUUGUCUCCGGGCAUAAGAUGUGCCGUCUCGGCCUGGCGGCUGCACGGCCGUGACUCUCCUCGUCACCACCCCCCUUGAGGGAGUGCCUGAACUUUGUUACCAUCCAUCAUGGACUCAUUAUUCAUGGACUCACCUCAUAGACUUGGUUCUGUUCUCUGCCACUCAUUCUUGUGUCUUCAUUCUCAUGUGUGUUCUAGUCCGUCGCCCCUCCUGCUUAGCUGUGUUUCCUUUUUUUUUCUUGGUUUUCUGUUGGUCGUCUGGGAAUCCGCCCUAGACGGGGGGGUUCUGUCACAGUCCAGGUCAUUUAGCAACUGCACUCAAUCAUUUCCGGUUUAUUUUGGUACCACUUCCUGUUCAGUGCCCAUGUUUUCAGUUCCAGCUUUACCUCCGGUUUAGUUUGACGCACCUGUGCCCUGUUACUAAUUACUCACCUGCUAACUAUCCAGCCAUCAUCUUCACUCGGUAUUUAAGCACCACCCCUCAGCCCUGCACCUUGCCAGAUUGUCUUUGUGUAUCAGCCAGCAAUCCAGCGUUAUUCUCAUGAUCGUGAACCUGUGUAUGACCUCGCUUCUCCUGACCCAGAUUCUCGUCUCAUCUCUGAUCUAGCGCGUGCCGUGAGUCUUGAGACCCUAGCCUGCCUUGACCACCGCUUGUCUAGACCCUCUGUCUGUACUGAACCUGCCGGAUCUGUGUACCGACCCUUGCCUGCCUGACCACGAGCGUGAAUAAACCCUGUUGUGCACUGAGCCUUGUCUCCGCUGUGCGUGUGGGUCCGCUGCCUUGAGUCCGUGACACCCUUCCUCCUCUGCCUGAGACAAACGGCUCCGCUGGCUCAGCCUCAGCUCCCUCCUUUUAUC